rnacentral:rRNA from 1 species
ACGGUAGCAGGUAAGUACUUGUACUUAUGCUGACGAGUGGCGGACGGGUGAGUAAUGCUUGGGAAUCUGUCUUAUGGAGGGGGAUAACGACGGGAAACUGUCGCUAAUACCGCGUAGAAUCGGGAGAUGAAAGUGUGGGACCUUCGGGCCACAUGCCAUAGGAUGAGCCCAAGUGUGAUUAGGUAGUUGGUGGGGUAAAGGCCUACCAAGCCGACGAUCGCUAGCUGGUCUGAGAGGAUGGCCAGCCACACCGGGACUGAGACACGGCCCGGACUCCUACGGGAGGCAGCAGUGGGGAAUAUUGCGCAAUGGGGGCAACCCUGACGCAGCCAUGCCGCGUGAAUGAAGAAGGCCUUCGGGUUGUAAAGUUCUUUCGGUGAUGAGGAAGGUUGGUGUGUUAAUAGCAUGCCAAAUUGACGUUAAAUACAGAAGAAGCAC